rnacentral:tRNA from 2 species
GGGCCUGUAGCUUAGCCUGGUAGAGCACGCGUCUUAUACACGCGUGGUCGGCGGUUCAAAUCCGCUCAGGCCCA